UGGCGGAGUAGGGGAAGCAGAGAGAAGAGAGAGAACCAGAAAGAGGGGGGGGGGGAGAAAAAAACGCAAACCAAGCAUCAAAAGCGCAUAAUUUCAGCUUAACACGGACGCCACUCGAAAGAGCACUCUUGCCUCGCUUCGUUAUUGGCAAUAAACCUCAACCUGUUCUUUGCGUGUACACGAUCUCGCACGCGCACGCGCGGCCUCUCCUAUGUUGGCUGUGCAAUUCGUGCGGCAUCGAACGGAGGUGCAUUUAACUCUCCGCACAUGUGCGAGCUCACGAGCCAUUGAGAUAAAACGCGCAGUAAAUAAACAGGGCCGCCCGCGCUAUUAUUUGCGACAAGAAAUAUCGAAUCGCUGGCGGAAAAGCUAACCGGAUAUAUCGCAGGCAUGCACGCCUGUACAUGUGUUUAAGUGAUGCGACUAUAUGCGUAGAUAGCGACAAGAUGAUGCGUGUACAUGAUUGUGAUACACAACACGCCUGACAUCCGACUAAGUUUCAGCUUACUAUCAUUAUAUAUUCACCGGAGCGAACCAAGAAUCGGGGAUUAAAGAGUUCCAUCGCGCCACAGGACGAGAUGUCAGAUCGUGGACGGCGGUAGGAAAUCGUCGAAGUUUCCAGGUCGAUAGGGCGUACCAAGGAGGGGCGACUCAAGAGGCCGGCCAGGAAAUGCAAAGAGUGCAAGGAAGAAAAGGAAGAGACGCGGGCGCGAAGAGGAAUCGGAGAUCGGCACGAAGGAGUGGCAGUCUCUCUUUCGACAAAAAGAGAAAGAGAGAAAGAGGGGGGAGGAGGAAGAGAAAGAGGGAAGGAAAAAGAGACGAAGAGAGUAGAGGAACAAUUGAAUCAGCGAAAUCAAGCUCCCGCGAUCGAGAGGGCUGGUACGCGCUCAAGCGCAAUCACGACCACUCGCGAAUUUAAAUGCCACCACCUCGUACAAGUCGACGUGUUCGGCCACGCGGCCACCGGAGACUGGAAAGGAACAGGAAAUUUAAUGGGCGUAUGCACGACACGACGCGCUGCAUCUCCGGCGAGCGAGUGCAUUGCCAUCUCCGGAGAUGCAUAUCCGCUCGAGUUCGCCGCUGACUCGUCCGGCGCGGACUUACCCUAUGUGAGCUACCAAGAUCUAAAUUAUACGAAUAGAUCCGUUUUCCUACGCUUC